rnacentral:rRNA from 1 species
GACGGGGGCCCGCACAAGCAGCGGAGCACGUGGUUUAAUUCGACGCAACGCGAAGAACCUUACCAGGUCUUGACAUCCAGUAAAAGCCAUAGAGAUAUGGUGUGAGCUUGCUCAUACUGAGACAGGUGGUGCAUGGUUGUCGUCAGCUCGUGUCGUGAGAUGUUGGGUUAAGUCCCGCAACGAGCGCAACCCUUAUUUUCAGUUACUAACGGGUAAAGCUGAGGACUCUGAAGAGACUGCCGGGGACAACUCGGAGGAAGGUGGGGACGACGUCAAAUCAUCAUGCCCCUUAUGACCUGGGCUACACACGUGCUACAAUGGCCACCACAGAGAGGAGCGAACCCGUAAGGGGGAGCGGAUCUCAAAAAAGUGGUCCCAGUUCGGAUUGUGGGCUGCAACCCGCCCACAUGAAGUCGGAGUUGCUAGUAAUCGCGGAUCAGCAUGCCGCGGUGAAUACGUUCCCGGGCCUUGUACACACCGCCCGUCACACCAUGGGAGUUGGGAGUGCCCAAAGUCGGUGAGGUAACCGCAAGGAGCCAGCCGCCUAAGGCAAGACCAAUGACUGGGGUGAAGUCGUAACAAGGUAGCCGUAUCGAAA